AUUGAACGCUGGCGGCAGGCCUAACACAUGCAAGUCGAACGAGUGGCGGACGGGUGAGUAAUGUCUGGGAAACUGCCUGAUGGAGGGGGAUCACUACUGGAAACGGUAGCUAAUACCGCAUACCAUCAGAUGUGCCCAGAUGGGAUUAGCUAGUUGGUGGGGUAAAGGCUAACCUAGGCGACGCUCCCUAGCUGGUCUGAGAGGAUGACCAGCCACACUGGAACGGAGACACGGUCCAGACGCCUACGUGAGGCAGCAGGGGGGAAUAUUGCACAAUGGGCGCAAGCCGUAUGCAGCCAUGCCGCGUGUAUGAAGAAGGCCUACGGGUUGUAAAGUACUUUCAGCGGGGAGGCGUUACCCGCAGAAGAAGCACCGGCUAACGCCGUGCCAGCAGCCGCGGUAAUAC
rnacentral:rRNA from 1 species